UACAGAGGUCUCAAGCGUUGUUCGGAUUCAUUGGGUCGGUAAAGGGCGCGUAGGCGGCGGGGUAAGUCGGGUGUGAAAUCUCAGGGCUCAACCCUGAAACUGCACUCGAUACUGCUCUGCUUGAGGACGUGGAGAGGAGACUGGAAUUCCUGGUGAUAGCGGUGAAAUGCGCAGACUAUCAGGAAGAACGACCCGUGGCUAAGGCGGCUCUCUAGUACGGAUACUGGACGCUGAAGA
rnacentral:rRNA from 1 species